rnacentral:lncRNA from 1 species
CGAUUUGAAACGGAUGCACUGGCAGCAGACAGCAGCGAGACCGAUCACAAAACCUGAAGAUCCUCCAUAAAAGUCCCCGUCAGAGACGAACGCCGAACACACAAAAAUCAAAGUCGUAGCCGAAGCAGAAGCCGAAGCCGUGCGAAUGUCUGUCGUCGGUUCAGGUGUACGAAUAAGAAGCUCCCAGAGCCACCUUGGCCGCCGCUACGAGUAUCUUCAUCGGUCGCGCUGGUCGUUUAAAAGUGAAAUUUACUGAAUGAAAUGAAAUGAAAUGUUUUCUUGAAAGCCCCAUCCUCAGUGCCCGAGUCCGAGCCCGGCCAAUUGUGUAUGGUGAAUCGUGUUUGUGUGUUUGAUUAUUGAUUUGUGACAAU